rnacentral:ncRNA from 1 species
UAACAGGCUAUGAUAAAGAGUAGUACGUAUUUUCCUUCGUUUCAGAGAGUUUGUGGCUGGUGUAAACAAACACGAAUAAAUACGGAAUGGACUUUGGAGCCUCUGUCUGAACAUAUAAAAGUAGGAUUUGACGUUUUCCUUGCGUUAAAAGGACUCCCGUUCGUCAUUGUGGAUGAUUGUGGAAUUGAGUGACUCUUUAUUGAGUAAUUUAGGGUGGUACCGCGGAACCAUUCGUCCCUAUU